rnacentral:rRNA from 1 species
ACGCCGCGUGAGUGAUGAAGGCUUUCGGGUCGUAAAACUCUGUUGUUAGGGAAGAACAAGUACGAGAGUACACUUCGCUCGUACCUUGACGGUACCUAACCAGAAAGCCACGGCUAACUACGUGCCAGCAGCCGCGGUGAAUACGUAGGUGGCAAGCGUUAUCCGGAAUUAUUGGGCGUAACAGCGCGCGCAGGCGGUUUCUUAAGUCUGAUGUGAAAGCCCACGGCUCAACCGUGGAGGGUCAUUGGAAACUGGGGACACUUGAGUGCAGAAGAGAAAAGCGGAAUUCCACGUGUAGCGGUGAAAUGCGUAAGAUGUGGAGGAACACCAGUGGCGAAGGCGGCUUUUCUGGUCUGUAACUGACGCUGAGGCGCGAAAGCGUGGGGAGCAAACAGGAUUAGAUACCCUGGUAGUCCACGCCGUAAACGAUAGAGUGCUAAGUGUUAGAGGGUUUCCGCCCUUUAGUGCUGCAG